GAUUCGAAGCCCUAGCUCUCGCUCUUCUCUUGGCUUCAUUCUCACCGUUCCCAAUCACAUCUCCUUCGAUGACCUCAUUCGCUGGUGCGGGCCCCACCUCCACCAUCUCCACCGCCUCCUCUUCAUCAGAUUUUGUAGUGUGAUUUUUCAGGGAAGGUAUAGGUGAAAUAAAGAAGAUGGCUUUUCCAGGAGCAAAUGAAUCCAUGUCAGGAGCCCUUUAUUUACAAAAAGGAGAAGAUAUUCAAUCUGAAAGGCAUAGCUAUAAGCAAUAUACAAUUUAUUUACCAAAUAUAUUUAUAAACUAUGCUUCUUUCUGCCUUUCAUUCUUAGAUAUUGCUAAUAAUAUUAAUGCUUAAAGGGUCUCUUUGCAUUAUUGCAGUUGAGUAAUCCACUUGUAGAAUAUGCCACUGACUUCAAUUCAAGGGCUGAGUUUUUCUGGUCUCACAGAUUAAUAUCAGAUUCCCUUUUUACUUGAGUUUUUUUUUACUUAAGUUUUUUUGUUCCUUUUUACUUGAGUUUUUUUCCUUUCCUAUGGCCAAACAGAAAGAAAAUGAGAGCAUCGAUGUGUGCGUAGAUGACAAAGUUACAAAUUAUUUGAACGGAAGAGAUGUGCAGCAGGUGCUCCAUGCCAAGCUCAUUGGAGUUCGCAAGUGGGAUGUCUGCAACAAGUAAUCUUAUCAAACUUUGGACGAAUAAAGAAAA